CAGGCUGCCUACGCUCAGACCAGGCUCAUAUAUGAAGAACUUGAACAAGAUUAUACUCAACAAGACUCAAGAGCUUCAAUAGAGGGUAAACAAGAGAGAAAAUUGGAGCAGGGAGGAGAUCAAGAACAAAGAUGUGAACUGGCCAAAAUAAAGAAGGUACAUGAAAAGAAAGGGUGAAGGGGCAAUGGCAAACAUGAUCGUGCUCAAUCAAGAAAGAGACACAGAUGCUGCCAGACCUGCUGAGCUUUUCCAACAACCUUGUUUUUGUUCGAGAAGAGAAGAUAAAACUACUGAACUGAAAAGAAGCAUGGAAUACAUCAAUGAUAUGCCAGCUGAGUUCUCAGUGUUGGAAUAUUGUCAGUUCAAGUCCCACUGCAGGAUUAAAAGCACAAAUAUCUAAGCAGAAAAUUCAGUGCAUCUCUUCAGGAGUGCUGCAUUGUCAAAUUGUUGUCUUUUGUUUGAGAUAUUAAACUGAGGUUCCAUUUACCCAUUUAAGUAACACUAUUUCAAAAACGAUGUAGUUAUCCUCAGUUUCCUAGCCAAUAUUUACCCUUCUGCAAAAAAUCUCAACAAAUAUAUCAUUUAGUCAUUAUGUUACUGUUUUGGGACCCUGCUGCCUCAUUUCCUUCAAUGGUGAUAACUCGCUGCAAAAGUGGUUUGUUGGCUUAAAAGCACUUUGUGAUUUUGGAAAAGGUGCCAUAUAAAUAUGAGUCUUUCAGGAGACUGAUAUAUACAAAAUAUGGCCAAUUUGAAAUUUUAAGCACGGUAUUCAGCAAGCUGUCAACCAGAACAAAAAAAAAAUCUUAACAUUUAAAGUGUCAUGUUGCUGAUGACUAGAAUAUCUAUCUCGCAGCCAUUUUG